UACGGAGGGCGCGAGCGUUACCCGGAUUUACUGGGCGUAAAGGGCGUGUAGGCGGUCUGGGUCGUCCCAUGUGAAAGGCCACGGCUCAACCGUGGAGGAGCGUGGGAUACGCUCAGGCUAGACGGUGGGAGAGGGUGGUGGAAUUCCCGGAGUAGCGGUGAAAUGCGCAGAUACCGGGAGGAACGCCGAUGGCGAAGGCAGCCACCUGGCUCACUGGUGACGCUGAGGCGCGAAAGCGUGGGGAGCAAACCGG
rnacentral:rRNA from 1 species